CUUCAGGGAGCCCAGCCACAGGGGCCGGUCCCCGGGGCGCCCCGCCCCAUAGGUGGCGAGGAGCGCCUGCGCCUC
rnacentral:antisense_RNA from 1 species